rnacentral:tRNA from 1 species
GCCUGCAUGGCUCAGUUGGCUAAGCAUCUGACUUCGGCUCAGGUCAUGAUCUUGCAAUUCGUGAGUUCGAGCCCCACGUCAGGCU